GACACGUCGGACUGGACGGGUGCCGGCGUCGGACAGAUCACGUGACCGGGUGCUAGGCGCCUGCGACGCGUCGCGGUCUCCAGGCCGGCGCGGCGGCCGUGCGCGAGUUGUGCGCGACGAGGCGAGGCGUGCGGUUUGCGAAGGCGGUGAGGUCCGAGUGAGGUAGCUGCUCAUCUCCGUGAAUGGAUCCGAGUGUAUCGAUCAGCGGUAUGAAGUGCACGUAGCGAAUGUGUCCAGAUCUACCAAGUUCGCCGGCUGCAAUUUGUGGCGGAGUGGCCAUAGCUCGGCUAUCGUGGGUAGUGAGCUGCUCGGCUGUACCGACGACUCUGAUUGGUCGCUGUGGUUGAAACACCGACGAUGAUUGGCCGGCCGGCGCCAAGCGCGGCUGCGAUUGGCCCGAGCGCGGUGGAGGAGCUGGUCGAGGCAGCGCUGACCGGCGCCGUCGCAUUGUUGUUGUGGACGGGGUUGAGGCGCGUGGUUGGGGUCGCUGCGCCCGUGCUGUGGAGCCGCGCUCGACGACUGGUGAGUUUCAAACCCAGUCACCAGACGGGAGACUCGCCUCUCUCCGACGAAGCGACCACCUCCGCCGACGACACUACCGAUCGGGUCGUCGGCUCGGCCCAGCCAGUCAUGUGCAGCGUCGCAGGGUCGCGCGAACCCGCGGCGAGUGGCGCAGCGGCGGCAGUGGACGGUGGUCGGCCGCCGGACAGGGAUGGAGCGACGCAGGCCAGGCCCGUGUUCGAGGCGCAGGGAGUCAGCUUUGGCGACGGAGUGGUGAUCUCUGACGAGGGAGUGACGAGUGGAGUGUUGGAUCAGAACGGAGUGACGAUGAGUGAAGCCGGAGUGGGCCAGAGUGUGCCCACGAACGUGCAGUGUAGAACUGAUGGCGUUGGCUGUGAUACAGACGUUGCGGACGAUGCUGUGGUACCGCGGACAGAGCAGGACUGUGACAGUGACGUUUCGGACGAGGUGAACCCGUGUAAUCAGACGUUCUAUAGCGAGGGUGAUGGCGAAGAUGCCGAUGCCGAAAGCGACGAGAACGAGUAUGACCUCGGGGAGAACCAGCCGGAGCAGGACGACGAUUACGACGACUGGUUCGCCGUCUCCAACGACGACGAAAUUCGAACGAUUGCCACUGCCGACCUGCAGCCGUUCUAUGAAGAGGCGGGCUCGGCCGAGCCGGGUCGCCGGCCCGCCGCCAUGUUCCACCUGGCCGGAGACCUGGGCUCGGAGCCAGACUUCAUCGAAGGCUACAGCUGCCUGGAGACCAUCGUCGAAGAGAAUUCCGACGAUAUGCGCAGCGACAGCGACAGCUUGCGCUCUGGUCCGGCCAGCCGGGACUGGUCUGAGGACUCGGACGGCCAGGACGGGACUACCUCUCCGUCUGCACUGACCGCCGGCCCGCCGGGCUGGACCUGGUGCCUGGAGCCGUCCGACUCGACCGGCGCCGCCGACGACUGGGGCUCAGAAGAGGAGUGCGAGCCGAAGCCACGAGUGCGGCGGGCCUCAGCCGGUGACGAGCUGCUGGAGGCAGACGGACUCGGCCGCGGUGGACUGAUGAGCUGGGACCAGCCGCUCACCAAGUCCUGUGUCGGAGCACCACUGUUCAGCGAACUGCCGCCAGCCCGGCCGCUGGCCGCCACCACCAGCGCCGCCUGGCGUCAGUCUCCCGAACUGCUGUCGCAGAUGGCGCCGCUGUCGCACAGUGACUUCCGAGGCCACCACUGGCGCGUGGACAAUGAACCAAUCAGUGCGGAACUGAGCUGCGCCGGCCCCGGCGGUCGGCGGCACAGCGACCCUGGCACCUUUGGCGGCCGUAUCGGUCUGCCGGUGACCCUCGCUGAGCCGUCUGACGGACGGGACGACCGCCCAGUGACCGGCGGCCGGCCCGUGUCACCGCAGGGUCACCGGAGGUCACCGGAGCGGCCGGCUCCCACGCCGCGCUCGGUCACCGGCGGUGGGAGCGACGCGCCGGCCAUCGGUCACGACCCAACGACCGGGGGUUUGGGAGCGGCACACAACGCUCAAUUGGCGGCCAGCACAGCGGAAAGGUGCGCCGUCAGUUCUGAGCGCGCGGCGGUGACAUCAACACCCACCGGCGCGCGCGGUGGCACUGAGGUGCCCAAGGCGACGGCGGACGGACGCGUGCCGACCGCCGCCGACCCCAAGUGGGACCUGGGCAGCUGUGAGGACUUUGAGAACCUGGACCGUCGGAUCGAGUCUUUGACGUUCGACUUUGAGGAGGAGGAGAGGACGCUACAGACUUUGGAGAGCCUGGAGUCGGCUACAGACGUGCAGCGGCGGCGCUACCAGCGGCUCUCCAGCUCCAGACAGGCGUCUACUGAGGAGCCAAACCAGCUCUGUGAGCCGGUAAGGCGCUUCCAUAGCUCCGGUGACCUGACCAUGAUCGGUGAUGAUGCCCGCUCCGAGCGGCCGGCCGCGCGACGCGGCGCCACCAAAACGACUCAAAUCGACGGCGACUCGAACUCGGCGCAGCGCAGCAGACGAACAUCAGUACUCCAGAGACGACCGUGCCGCGGCCGCACGCGCGUGUCGAGCUCCUGCGCCACUCCAGUGAGAACCUCAGCGAGGACUCUGGGUUCGGUGAGCAGACGGUGGGGGCGCGCAGCUCCUCUGAGGCCAGCUCACCGCCGCCGAGCCUGUCUCUCACCACACCACGAGAGGAGAGCUCAGGUCAGCCGGAGACGGCGCCCAGCCGGCUCAGCCGCCGGUCUCAGUCCACACCGGACCUGAGCCCGAGCGCCCAGCGCCGCCGCCGACUGCUCGAGCUCAUCGGACGCGACGAGCGGCGUCGGGCGCGGGUGUACCUGGACGCCGCGGCGUCCGACGCCCGGGACGCCGCCGGGCUGGACGCCGCGGCCCAGCCGACGGUCCCCCGGCGGCAGCUCAGUCUGGAGACGGCGGCUGGGGUGUCCAAGGAGCGCCCUGUACCGGCGCCGCGCUCCGCCCCGCCCAAACCGGCGGCCGUGUAUCAGAACGUGCCGCCCAACGCCUGGCUGGCAGCGCUGGCGGCUGGUGACGGCAAGGAGGCUGUACGCCGCACCACACAGCCGCCCGAGAAUCAGCUGAUGCGCGGCGGCGAGGCGGCGCGCCAGCUGAGCCGACAUGAACUGCGCUUCCAGCGCUCCCUGCGGAACCUGCACACCCCGGAGUGGUACAGGAGGGCGGCCGUGGCACCGACGGCCGCGCUCAGAAGGAACCUGGACACCGCCUCACUGCAGGGCGGCUGGUCCGGGCUCAGCUCCAAGUCAAACUCCAAGGAGAGCCUACCCACCAGCUCAGCGGCCACCCCCACACCGGUGCCGCGGCGCGGCGACUGGCGCUCGUUCCGUGCCGCCCGUGAGACCGCCUCUGUACCGGGCACGGCCUCUGCCUCUCCUGUACCGCUGUACCGACGGGCCUCUGCGGGCAGCGCGCGCCGGCCGGGGCCUCCCCCGACGGGCGCCCCCGCCGUGACGGCUACACAGAGUCUGCGUCGGCCCUACCUGGGCUGGCGUAGUCAGGAGAGGCUUACCAGACAGGGCUACCAGACGCCCGUUGAGAGACUGGCCAGCAGCUUCCGCGGCACUCCUGGUGUGCGGAGACAGGUGGCGCCACCAGAGCAGUCACCGGCCAGCGCCGACCCUGCGCGGCCCCCGCCGCCGACCGAUGAUGUGAAAACGUCCAUUAGAGAAGUUUCUGAUGCAAUUGUACAUUAUUUCGAUCCUGAUGUUCAGGGCCAGAACGGUCGGAUGGAAUCACCGGCAACGGCGCGGACGGCGAGGGAAGAAUCGCCCUCAAAGCACCGUGCCAUGUGGCUGGAGACUGCGUUCGUCGGUAACCGGCCGGCAGAGGGCUCUGGCGAGCCGACAAAAGGUGGCAGCACUAUCGACCGACUGCUGGCGCCCAGCGACGCGAGGAAGGAGCGGUUCGAGCUGGGUGAGUUUGUCGCAGUCUGACGCGGCCGCUGACCGUCUAGCUGUGAUCGCGGCAGCUGCCUUCUCUUUGUGCCCUGCUUCACCGUGUGCUUUCGCUUCCGCUUCGUCGGCAGUGUGCCUGGCAGCGUCGCCCGCCGGCUGCUGCCGGGCCCGCUCCCUCGGCGGCGUCCGCUUUAGCUGUGUGUUUGCACCUCUAUCGCUGCCCUGUCUGCCUGCCUGUAUCGUUUGUGAUAGGCCGGCUGUCUCCCUUAUGAGCACCGGCCGAAAGUGUGUGACUGCCGUGGUCGUGCUAUCUGUGCUGGUGACCCAUCUGGGCACGCACUACGACGUUUGAAUGGUUCCAAAGUAUCAAGUCCGGGCUAUUGUUUGACGCGAGUUUUUCUGUGGUAGCCAUAAUUCGUGGACGUGGAAGGAGCAAGUCGGCUGACUUGGCACAUAGGUGAUGCGUUUGUUAUUGAAGAACGCUUGUAGUAAAUAUUGUAAGCACUGCGAUGCGUGAUGCGGACUGUGACAACCGAUAUGUAUUGUGUAUAUAGGUAUAUAUUUUACGUUUGUAUUAUCUCGGCAGCCGCAUUAUAUAUAAUUGGCACCAGUAAAGAUCUCCCGGGCUUUUCUCACUCAGAUGCUAGGCUAUUUUUAUGUAGAGCUCUUUGAUUUGGUAGUUACAUGCACACGUUAACACAAGUAACACUGGUUAAAGUGUUUUGACGUAUCCUCUUACACUCAAAACAUACACCCACCAACAUAUAAAUACGUAAACGUCUAGUUACUUCCCCUUCUACCAAUGAACACACUGGUUAUUCUUCCGCUUUGUGAAAUCCUAGGUGCGGGUUUAAUGGUUAUUCACGACACUGACUGCUGUGCGUAUGCGUCUCCACCCGUGGAUAUUCAACUGAAGUGUUUGUUUUCUAAAUAAAUGAUGAGAGUGGCCAA